rnacentral:sRNA from 1 species
GCCGGGCGUGGUGACACACGCCUGUAAUUCCAGCAGCUCAGGAGGCUGAGACACGAGGAUAGCUAGUUCAAAGCCAGCCUCAACAACAGAGAGGCGCUAAGCAACUCAGUGAGAUCCUGUCUCUA